rnacentral:rRNA from 2 species
AGUCGACGAACUCUGGUAUUGAUUGGUGCUUGCAUCAUGAUUUACAUUUGAGUGAGUGGCGAACUGGUGAGUAACACGUGGGAAACCUGCCCAGAAGCGGGGGAUAACACCUGGAAACAGAUGCUAAUACCGCAUAACAACUUGGACCGCAUGGUCCGAGUUUGAAAGAUGGCUUCGGCUAUCACUUUUGGAUGGUCCCGCGGCGUAUUAGCUAGAUGGUGGGGUAACGGCUCACCAUGGCAAUGAUACGUAGCCGACCUGAGAGGGUAAUCGGCCACAUUGGGACUGAGACACGGCCCAAACUCCUACGGGAGGCAGCAGUAGGGAAUCUUCCACAAUGGACGAAAGUCUGAUGGAGCAACGCCGCGUGAGUGAAGAAGGGUUUCGGCUCGUAAAACUCUGUUGUUAAAGAAGAACAUAUCUGAGAGUAACUGUUCAGGUAUUGACGGUAUUUAACCAGAAAGCCACGGCUAACUACGUGCCAGCAGCCGCGGUAAUACGUAGGUGGCAAGCGUUGUCCGGAUUUAUUGGGCGUAAAGCGAGCGCAGGCGGUUUUUUAAGUCUGAUGUGAAAGCCUUCGGCUCAACCGAAGAAGUGCAUCGGAAACUGGGAAACUUGAGUGCAGAAGAGGACAGUGGAACUCCAUGUGUAGCGGUGAAAUGCGUAGAUAUAUGGAAGAACACCAGUGGCGAAGGCGGCUGUCUGGUCUGUAACUGACGCUGAGGCUCGAAAGUAUGGGUAGCAAACAGGAUUAGAUACCCUGGUAGUCCAUACCGUAAACGAUGAAUGCUAAGUGUUGGAGGGUUUCCGCCCUUCAGUGCUGCAGCUAACGCAUUAAGCAUUCCGCCUGGGGAGUACGGCCGCAAGGCUGAAACUCAAAGGAAUUGACGGGGGCCCGCACAAGCGGUGGAGCAUGUGGUUUAAUUCGAAGCUACGCGAAGAACCUUACCAGGUCUUGACAUACUAUGCAAAUCUAAGAGAUUAGACGUUCCCUUCGGGGACAUGGAUACAGGUGGUGCAUGGUUGUCGUCAGCUCGUGUCGUGAGAUGUUGGGUUAAGUCCCGCAACGAGCGCAACCCUUAUUAUCAGUUGCCAGCAUUAAGUUGGGCACUCUGGUGAGACUGCCGGUGACAAACCGGAGGAAGGUGGGGAUGACGUCAAAUCAUCAUGCCCCUUAUGACCUGGGCUACACACGUGCUACAAUGGAUGGUACAACGAGUUGCGAACUCGCGAGAGUAAGCUAAUCUCUUAAAGCCAUUCUCAGUUCGGAUUGUAGGCUGCAACUCGCCUACA